CUCAACAGGAAGUGCACCGACAUGUCUGAGCCUAAGUCUCGGGACUGGAGGACACGUCUUCUUCAGCCUGAAUGCAUGACCAGCAGAGAAAUGCAUCCAGUCAGAGGCAAUGGACCCUAAUUCAUCAACAAAAGGUGGCUUGGUCCCUCCUAUGUUCAGUGGCGGGGCAUCCUGAUUCAUCCAUUACUUCAUCUCCUAUUAGUUAGUGCUUUAUUCCAGAUGGGAAAGAAGAAUAAGAAGUGAAGAGAUAUGCAGGCACUCUCUCAUCCAUGCUGGAACACCAGGCACACAGCUAGCAGGGGGAAUGGCAGUUCCCUGCUGCAUUUUCAUUCUGUGGUUUAAACCCGGGACAGGGCAUCCACAAGUCCUGGGAUAUGGGAAGGUUUAGAUGGUUUGGGAGGAUUUGAAAUUCAUUUGCAUGGGAAAGUCUGUUCGGUGUUAGAGUUCUGACUUCCCUCUGUUUGGAGUCAGGCGCGGGGGGUAUCUCACAUCUCACUCCCUAUCUGCUCAUUGAUUUGGGAACUUCCUUUGCCCCUAUUUAAUGUCAGAAAUAAGGUUUCUGCUAGCCAUACUUCAGGCAAGCCCUUACCCUUUUUCCCUUUUGAGCUUAAUAAUCUGCCUUCCUUCUGGCUUUUUGGCUACAUGGGGCUUCUCCUGCACUAUUUCUUUCCUUGCUGUAGGACCUCUCUGAUCCCUAUUUAAUUCUGGGAUACUUGGGUAAUCUAUUUCAGAUUCUAGGGGCCUUUUCUGGACCUCUUUUAAUUUUACUGGCAUGGCUUCAGCCCUGCUACCUUCGAGCAGCUCUCAUUCGAGAUCUGUGGGUGCUAUUCCAUCCUUUUGGACCUCGGGACCUUCCCCAGCUUUCUGCUCUUCUGCAGUUUUCUGCUGCUUUGUCUUGGCCUCUUUUCUUUUGCUGGCUAGCACCUGGCUGCCAGCCAAAUCAUUCCCGAGGAGGAAAUUCCUGCUGGUAGUAGUUUAGGGACAAUUCCUACUGUAACAGCGUCUGAAACAGGGUCACACUCUAGGUGGACCUUAUGGGGGGUGCAAACACAGAUCAUCCUCCCACUCCACUGAUCAGGGCUUUGGCCUUCAGGGAAGACUUGAAGGUUAAGUUUAAGUUUCCCUCCAACAUUAAGGUUUGAGUAGCUUCUGUGUCCUGGAGUACCACGGACUUGCUCACAUUUUCGGUUGGAUCGAGGGACACUGUUCAUGAAAGGACAAAACUCUGGAAGCUCUUUAGGACUUUGUCCGGCUCAGACACACAUUGUGCUAUUCUCUCUGAGGGGCAUGCUUCUGUAGCCAGUGGCCCUGCCUGCUGUGCUGCACUACCCAUUGGUGGACUACUCAUGUGAAGCCCUACUAGGCCAACUGGUUUGCCUCGCAAUCUCCAGUAUUCAGGUCUGGAAUGGCAUAUUUUGUUGAACUGAGAAUACACUGACCUCUGGGCAUUCUCCUUUCGGGUUGUAGGAGGGCUUCUUGCGCACUCUUUUGUGUUUUUAUUUCUGUGUGGAGCACCUUUCCUAUCCAUGUUGUCCUGUUUAUCUUUCCAAUGCUCAUGGGUAUGGUUUGGGAAAGGGUCUGCCUGAAUUUACGGGCCUAUGGGUGAGAUCUUAGCUGUCUGCUGUGAAUGGCUGCAUCCCUAGCUGUGAGGAUUCUCUGCUCCCCUAAGUGCAUUCACAGGUUGGAGGAUAGGCAAUUGUUAAGUUCCUCCAAAAGUACUAGUUCACGCAACCCCUUAUAGGUGCAUGGGAUUCUUAAGGAUCUUACCCAUCGAUUGAACGCAAUUUACUUCAAGUGUUCGGACUCGAUGUAGGUUUGUGUGGGCUUCUUACGAGCAUUCCAGAUUUGUUGGUGAUAUGCCUCCAGGACUAUCUCACAGGCACUUAGGAUGGCCACCUUGGUCUGCUCAUAAUUCAGGGAUACAUUUGUAGGCAGCAUGGAGUAGACCUCUUGGGUUCUCCCACACAGCUGCCCUUUAAUUAAAAAUGCCCAGAUAUCUGAGGACCAUUUCAGCUGUCCUGCUAUUUUCUCAAAUGUGGUAAAACUAACUCCACAUCACUCUCUUAAAAUUUGGGAAGGAAUCUCGCAUACUUGAGGGCCUCAGAGAGUGGUUUUGGGUUAGGGGGAUCUCUGGGUAGAGAGAGAUUUUCCCAUGCCAAUUCCAGUUGUCUGGCCUCUCUCUCACUUUGAGCUGCUAGCUCCAUUUCCAAUUUUAUGAGCUGGAACUCUCUUUCCCUUUCCUGUUCCUUUGCUCUCUCUUUUUCUCUCUCCCUUUCUCUUUCCUGGACUUCCUUUUCUCCCUCUCUUGAGCUUUUCUCUCUCUCACUCUCUCUUUCUCUCCUGAAAUUCUAGCUGCAAUUUAAGCUUUCCAAGCUCGAAACUGGCUAGGGGAGGGGAUUCGGAGACAUGAUUGAGCUCUACAUCUAACUUCUCUACUGGUAACUUGAGAUCCAAACAUUCUACCAACGACUGGAUCAGUUCAUUUCUUUUGAUCUUGCUGGGCAAUUUUAAC